rnacentral:rRNA from 1 species
UCGAGCGGCGAACGGGUGAGUAACACGUGAGUAAUCUGCCCCUGGCUUCGGGAUAGCCACCGGAAACGGUGAUUAAUACCGGAUAUGACAGACCCUCGCAUGGGGGUGUGUGGAAAGUUUUUCGGCCAGGGAUGUGCUCGCGGCCUAUCAGCUUGAUGGUGAGGUAAUGGCUCACCAUGGCUUCGACGGGUAGCCGGCCUGAGAGGGUGACCGGCCACACUGGGACUGAGACACGGCCCAGACUCCUACGGGAGGCAGCAGUGGGGAAUAUUGGACAAUGGGCGGAAGCCUGAUCCAGCAACGCCGCGUGAGGGAUGACGGCCUUCGGGUUGUAAACCUCUUUCAGUACCGACGAAGCGCAAGUGACGGUAGGUACAGAAGAAGCACCGGCCAACUACGUGCCAGCAGCCGCGGUAAUACGUAGGGUGCGAGCGUUGUCCGGAAUUAUUGGGCGUAAAGGGCUCGUAGGCGGUUUGUCGCGUCGGGAGUGAAAACGCCGUGCUUAACACGGCGCUUGCUUCCGAUACGGGCAGACUAGAGGUAUUCAGGGGAGAACGGAAUUCCCGGUGUAGCGGUGAAAUGCGCAGAUAUCAGGAGGACACCGGUGGCGAAGGCGUUCUCUGGGAAUGACCUGAC